GUAUCAAUGAGAUAUAUCCUUAACUGUUAUCUUAGAAUUAAGAUUUCAGUUCAUGAUGAUUGGCUGUAAUGAAUACGUGAUUAUUUCCGUGUUUGUUUUGGGACGCAACACCAAAAUGAAUCAUUUCUGGU